AGACGCCAGCCCUGUUUAAUUUGUGCAUCAUCUAUUCAGGUUUUGUUUUAUUUUAAUGGUGAUGGUAAAUGGAGUUCCCACAUCUACAAUUCAGAACACAGAACCCAAGCAGAUACGUUAAAGUUAGAUGAUUAUUUCUAAAAUAUUAUUUUCUUUUUCAUUAUAGAGGCAGUAGUAGGUGCUUAUGUAGAGAAAGUAGAAAAGCACUUAAAAAGAAAAUCAAGGCCGGGUGCGGUGGCUUACUCCUGUAAUCACAGCACUUUGAGAGGCCAAGGAGGGCGCAUCACCUGAGGUCAGGAGUUCGAGACCAGCCUGGCCGACUUGGCCUCUCUACUAAACCCCCCUCUCUACUAAAAAUACAAAAAUUAUCUAGGCCUGGUGGCGUGUGCCUGUAGUCCCAGCUACUCCGGGAGGCUGAGGCAGGAGAAUCGCUUGAACCCAGGAGGUGGAGGUUGCAGUGAGCCAAGAUCGUACCACCACACUCCAAACUGGGUGACAGAAUGGGAUUCUGUUCCCACCACCAAAAAAAUAAAUAAAAAGAAAAGAAAAUCAAGGCCUGGCGCAGUGGCUCACCUGUAAUCCCAGCACUUUGGGAGGCCAAGUCGGGCAGAUCACGAGGUCAGGAGAUCAAGACCAUCUUGGCUAACAUGGUGAAACCCCGUCUCUACUAAAAAUUACAAAAAAUGAGCUGGGCGUGGUGGCAGGCGCCUGUAGUCCCAGCUACUUGGGAGGCUGAGGCAGGAGAAUGGCAUGAACCUGGGGGUCAGAGGUUACAGUGAGCUGAGAUCACGCCACUGCACUCCAGCCUGGGCAACAGAGCGAGACUCCGUCUCAAAAAAAGAAAAAAGAAAAUCAAAAGCUCAUUGCAGCCGGGUGCGGUGGCUCACGCCUGUAAUCGCAGCAUUUUGGGAGGCCGAGGCGGGCAGAUCACCUGAGGUCGGGAGUUCUAGACCAGCCUGACUAGCAUGGUGAAACCCCGUCUCUACUGAAAAUACAAAAAUUAGCUGGGCAUAGUGGCGGGUGCGUGUAAUCCCAGCUACUCGGGAGGCUGAGGCAGGAGAAUCGCUUCAACCUGGGAGGCAGAGAUUGCGGUGAGCCAAGACUGCACCAUUGCACUCCAGCCUGGGUGACAAAGCAAGACUGUAGCUCAAGAAAAAAAAAAAAAAUAGGUUAGUGGACUAAUGAGUUAUCAUAGGAGUGGGACUAGCGGCUUUAUAAGAAGAGAAAGAGACCUGAGCUAGCAGGUUAGCAUGCUCAGCCCCCUGGCCAUGUGAUGCCUUGCACCACCGUGGGACUCUGUCGAAAGUACCUAUCAGCAAAGAAGGCUCUCACCAGUUGCAGCUCCUUGAUCUUGGCCUUCUCAGCCUUCAUUAACUGUAAGAAAUAAAUUCCUUUCUUUAUCAAUUACCCAGUUUCAAGUAUUGUGUUAUAAGCAACAGAAAACAAAGACAGUAGUACAGUUAACAAGGAAGUUAACAUAUAGUACUCUUAUGAAUCUGUUGACUUUGUUGAAAAUCCAUCAGUUGUUCCAGUAGUAUUCCUUAUAGUAAAAGACAAGAGUGUUUUCCUGAUCCCAGAUGUCAUACUGUUAACAUGUUUAGCAACCUAUAAUCAGGAAUAUUUCCUCAGUCUGUUUCAUGCCUUUGUACUCUUCAAAAAUAAGUACAGGUCUUUGAUGGCUUAUUUUAUGUUCAUUAGUUUGAGUUUGGUGGUUUUUCAUGAUUAAAUAUAGGUUGUGCAUUUUGGCAUGAGUGCCUCAAAAAGAAAUGUUGAGUUCUCAGAGUGUCAGGAGGGACAUGGUAUCAUUUCAUUCCAUUAAUGGUGAUACUACCUUGAUUCCUUGGUUAAGGUGGUAUCAGCCAGGUUUCUACAAUAUAAAGUUACUUUUUUUCCUCUGUCAUCAAUAAGUAUCAUGUGGGGAGAAAAGAAAAAAGCUCGUUACUGCCUGGUGCGGUGGCUCACACCUGUAAUCUCAGCACUUUGGGAGACUGAGGCGGGCGGAUCACCUGAGGUCGAGAGUUCGAGACCAGCCUAACCAACAUGGAGAAACCCUGUCUCUACUAAAAAUAAGAAUUAGCCGGGCAUGGGGGCACAUGCCUGUAAUCCCAGCUACUUAGGAGGCUGAGGCAGGAGAAUCCCUUGAACCUGGGAGGCGGAGGUUGCAGUGAGCCAAGAUUGUGCCACUGCACUCCAGCUUGGGAACAAGAGCAAAACUCCACCUCAAAAACCAAAAAAAAACAAUAAAUAACAAGAAAUAAUAAUAAAAUCUUUUAAGUUCCAUAAAGUAGAAAUACAUUACAGUCAAUACAUUGUGAUUACAAUGCAAUAAAACUAAAGAUUAUUUAAAAGACCCUUCUAUAUGAGGGGAGGGACAAGUGGAAACAGAUGAAAAGGUAAAUUAAAAUCAAGAUUAUAGAAUAUUAAAAAGUAAGGCUGGGACCAGGCACAGUGGCUCAUGCCUGUAAUCCCAGCACUUUGGGAGGCCGAGGCGGGCAGAUCGCGAGGUCAGGAGUUUGAGACCAGCCUGACCAACAUGGUGAAACCCUGUCUCUACUAAAAAUACAAAAAUUAGCUAAGCAUGGUGGCACACUCCUGUAAUCCUAGCUACCCAGGAGGCUGAGGCAGGAGAAUCGCUUGAACCGGGGAGGCAGAGGUUGCAGUGAGCCGAGAUUGCACCAUUGCACUCCGGCCUGACAACAUAGUGCAAUGUCUCAAAAAAAAAAAAAAAAGGCCGGGUGCAGUGGCUCACGCCUGUAAUCCCAGCACUUUGGGAAGCUGAGGCAGAUGGAUCAUCUGAGGUCAGGAGUUCAAGACCAGCCUGGCCAACUUUAGUAGCAAUGGCAAAGCCCCGUCUCUACUAAAAGUAAAAAAAUUAGCUGGGUAUGGUGGUGUGCACCCGGGAUUGCAGCUACAUGGGAGGCUGAGGCAGGAGAAUCACUUGAACCUGGGAGGUGGAGGUUGCAAUGAGCUGAGAUGGUGCAACUGCACUCCAACCUGGGCAACAGACUCCAUUUCAAAAAAGAAUAUUAAAAAAUAAUGAUAAGGGUCGGGUGUGGUGGCUCAUGCCUAUAUUCCCAAGCACUUUGGGAGGCCAAGGCGGACAGAUCACGAGGUCAGGAGAUCAAGACCAUCCUGGCCAACGUGGUGAAAUCCCGUCUAUUAAAAACACAAAAGUUAGCUGGGCAUGGUAGCAGGUGCCUGUAAUCCCACCUACUUGGGAGGCUGAGGCAGGAGAAUCACUUGACCCUGGGAGUCAGAGGUUGCAGUGAGCCGGGAUCGUGCCACUGCACUCCAGCCUGGGCAACAGAGCGAGACUGUCUCACACACACAAAAAAAAUAAU